rnacentral:rRNA from 1 species
UGGGGAAUAUUGCACAAUGGAGGGAACUCUGAUGCAGCGACGCCGCGUGAGUGAUGAAGGAAUUCGUUUCGUAAAACUCUGUUCUAUGGGAAGAAAAGGACUGUACCAUAGGAGAAAGCUCCGGCUAAAUACGUGCCAGCAGCCGCGGUAAUACGUAUGGAGCGAGCGUUGUCCGGAAUUAUUGGGCGUAAAGGGUGCGCAGGCGGCUUUACAAGUUGGAUGUGAAAUAUUGUGGCUCAACCACAAACGUGCAUCCAAAACUGGAAAGCUUGAGUUAAGGAGAGGUAAGUGGAAUUCCGGGUGGAGCGGUGGAAUGCGUAGAUAUCAGGAGGAAAACCGGUGGAGAAGGCGACUUACUGGACUUAAACUGACGCUCAGGCACGAAAGCGUGGGGAGAAAACAGG